AGAGAUCCGUCCGAGGAGUUUUCGGUUCACCUCGGUAGCCACCCAAGCGGUGCGGCGGGGUAACCGGCCGUGCCGAAGCCUUGGGGUCAAGGUAUACGUAUGGUAUGCCUGCAACCGUGCGGGCCGUAACGCCAGUAAAUCCUGAGCAGGCCUCGAAAGUGAAAUCAUGGACGCCGACCCGCCUGACUGUCGGGGAAGGCUGCGAUGCGACGGGGUGUUUCAACCGACCCAGCCCGUCGCGGUCCAUCGGGGUAGUGGGAACG
rfam:Planctomycetes bacterium RBG_16_55_9 RBG_16_scaffold_13779, whole genome shotgun sequence.